GCCCCCAUAGCUCAGCGGUCAGAGCAGACGACUCAUAAUCGUUUGGUCGCUGGUUCAAACCCAGCUGGGGGCACCA
rnacentral:tRNA from 3 species